UCUAGAAUGUAAAAUAUUAUAUAUUAUUAUAUAUAUUAUACAUUCUAAGUUAAAUUAUAAUAUAAAGAAUUGAAUUUUUGUUUCGUGCAUAAUUGAAAACCUAAUGAAAAACCUAAUAAAAUUCUUUUUAUUAUUCUAAGGUGUUGGGAAACCAACAAAAUCUGAUUCAUUAUAAUGCAUAAUUAAUAUCUUUUGCAGAAUAAUGUCAUGUUUUGCAUAUUUCGCAUAAUAUAACCAAAACAUAUUUUUGUCAUAACAUAUGACAAUUUUAAUUCGCCGUUGAUCGAAGUAAAUUGAAAUUUUGUGCAAUGCCAUUAGAUAUGCCAUUAGAUAGAAUCUCUGGAUCUUAUAACGUAUUAAAAUGGCGUAGCAUUAGUGUUUGUGCUGAUUUAAGUCUUUUGUAUGGAGUGUUAACAUCGAAAGAUAGGAAGGCUAAAAACAAGUAUAAAUGUAACUCAAAGAGUAGAAUUCGAUAAAGAGAGAAUGUACAUGUUUGAUCGCAAAAAAUGAUAACAUGCCGGUGCAAUGUAAAGCCUAUCGCACAAUGGCAAGAAACAGGAACAGGAAACAGAAAUUAUAAAUAAGAAAUUAUUACUGACGUAUAAAUCUUGACCUUUGUUGUCAACCAUUCGUAUUUCAUGCGUUUUUUGUUGUGAAUCGAGAAGAUCGAUGAUGUGUUCGUUGUAAAUUUCUAAGAAGCUUGCUUCUAUCUGGUAUCAUGCCUUCAGUUUGCAAGCCACACUCUCCCUCCAUAGUAUAUGUUUUACCGGAACCAGUUUGGCCAUAAGCGAAUACACAAACAUUAUAUCCUUCAAGUGCAGACUGUACCAAAAGGGAUAAUUCUUCAAAUAUAUCCGCUUGAGAUGCGUUGGGUGUAAACACUUUA